rnacentral:rRNA from 1 species
UACAGAGGUCUCAACCGUUGUUCGGAGUCAUUGGGCGUAAAGGGUGCGUAGGCGGUCGCGCAAGUCGGAUGUGAAAUCUCAGGGCUCAACCCUGAAACUGCAUUCGAUACUGCGUGGCUAGAGUGCUGGAGGGGAGACUGGAAUUUACGGUGUAGCAGUGAAAUGCGUAGAUAUCGUAAGGAAGACCAGUGGCGAAGGCGAGUCUCUGGACAGCAACUGACGCUGAGGCACGAAGGCCAGGGGAGCAAACGGG